AUAUGCCGGGCUCCUUGUAUGCCACUCGCAUAGCCGCCAACUCGGUUGAGCUCCAAACCUAGCAUUGGCUCUACCGCGGAUGGCAUGCGAGGGGCCAAGCAUGU
rfam:Triticum aestivum genome assembly, contig: Triticum_aestivum_CS42_TGACv1_scaffold_433175_5DL